CCAAUUUUCAUGGAUUGAGGAAAACUUACAUAUUCGUAGAUAUUUAAUUUCAUGGUAUUGCCAAAAUCUGCAUUUUACCAGAUAGAAAAUUUGUCAUUCGUUGAAUACUCUAUUUGGUGGUUCACCUAUACCCUUGAACAAGAAAAAUUAGUAUCCAACGAAUUAUAAUGAAUCCACAGUAUUUAAAUAGAACAAAAGGUAAGGGAUUAUUUAUUUCUGACUAGGUAGCCCAUUCAAAAUUUUCAAAAGUGACAGUCACAUUUCAGUAGUUUAUACAUACAAAUAUAAACAAAUUGCAGCUCAGUCUUCAUCUCAGGCCAGUUUAUUCAAGAUUUU
rnacentral:lncRNA from 1 species